rnacentral:rRNA from 1 species
UACGUAGGGGGCAAGCGUUGUCCGGAUUUAUUGGGCGUAAGGAGCUCGUAGGCGGUUUGGUAAGUCUGGUGUGAAAUCUCCACGCUCAACGUGGAGGGGCCACCCGAUACUGCCAUGACUGGAGUCCGGUAGAGGAGUGUGGAAUUCCCGGUGUAGCGGUGAAAUGCGCAGAUAUCGGGAGGAACACCGAUGGCGAAGGCAGAUCUCUGGGCCGUAACUGACGCUGAGGAGCGAAAGCAUGGGGAGCGAACAGG